rnacentral:rRNA from 1 species
UACGGAGGGUGCAAGCAUUGAUCGGAAUUACUGGGCGUAAAGGGCGCGUAGGCGGUUAUAUAAGUCGGAUGUGAAAUUCCGGGGCUCAACCCCGGAGCUGCCUUUGAAACUGUAUAGCUAGAGUUCAGUUAGGGUAAACGGAAUUCCACGUGUAGCGGUGAAAUGCGUAGAUAUGUGGAAGAACACCGGUGGUGAAGACGGUUUACUGGGCUGAGACUGACGCUGAGGCGCGAAAGCGUGGGGAGCAAACAGG